AAUUUUGUGACGAAUCCUUCUUCCCUUUCUCUUUUGCAGUUUUGCCCAAUGAUUCACACUCUCUCAUUUCAUUUUCUGAUAACUGUCGUGAAUAAUGGAGGUUUCGAAACAGAAACCCUAGCUACUUCUCCAAUUCUUCUUCGCAUGGUCCCAACACACCUUCUCCGGCGCCGGCCGCCGACAUCUCCAACUUCGCCUCGCCCUCCAACUCGUCGCCAAGUCCUCCGAUCACGACGACCGAUCCUUGAGCGCGAGAACGAGCUAUCAGCUAUUCAAAACCGUAAUCAUCCCUCAGUCGGAAACUACUCGCCGUCGUCGCAUGAUAUGGUUUAGAUUUUAACAGCCAUCGGGAACAAUCGUUUUCUUUGUGACACCACUGGUUCAAGAGAGUGUGGCUCCACCUUCUGCUGACUAUCACUGGAAUAGGAUGGAAUGCAGAAAAAAUUAUGCACGUUGCAGUGGACCACAGAUACAGUAUCUGCAAGGGCUCUUUCUCUCUUUAUCCACACCAGAUGUACAGGAGCAUGAGUUAAGACAAUGUACUAUGACCUUCUUUUACUGCGAAAGCACAUAAACCAGCAGCUUUUGUUCUUAUGAUCAUGGCUCUUCAAUGCACGCCUCUUCCUUCUAUCUGCUCUGUGGGAAUAGUAGCUGGAUGUGAAAAAUGAGUGGUCCUGAUUUGGUUGUAGACUGAUUAAGCCACUUAGAAUCAAUCAUUCCCAUAGAAACUAGCUCCUUGCUCUCAUUGUAGCUCAGGGCAGCAGCAGGGGAAUUAGCAAGUAUUGUUGUAAAACAUGGAUAUGGUGUUCUCUAGACAUUUGCAGGAGUAUAGUAGAGGUUAUUCUGAAGAUGAAGAGCAGGCGUGUUGCUGGGACCAUCACAAAAAAGAAAAGUCGUGAAGCACCAGGCCGUCGUUGCUCUCCCCUUUCACUCUCCCAGGUCGGCCUCUCUCUCUCUCUCUGUCACGCGCAAUCGCUCCUCCCCUUUCACUCUCCCGGUGCAGGCCAAGUGAAAAUGAUAUGAAAUCAUCAUGUAUAAGGACAACCCUUAUCCAGAAAAUGUUGCAUAUACACAUGUAAGCAGGUCUUACUUAAUGCAUAUUUAGGGCACGUCAAAGAGCGCAUUAGACCAGGCAAUGCUGCUACUUCUGGUGUUAAAACUUCAGUUGAAAUCUCCAGUUGGUAGAAAUUUGACUUCGGAAAAUCCUCUUGACAAGAAUGAACUCAAUCUGCUUGAUAAGAGUUAUGAUCGACCCAAAGAAAUUGUUAUCGAAGGUAAUUAUGGUGCUUCUCAAAUUAAAUGCUUUCUGUUAAACGGUUGUGACUUUGAAGAUGGCGAUGCUCAAAACCCUAGUCCAGUACAAGGACGUUUGUCUUAGCAUAAAUAUGAGAGAUCAUGAUCUCUCUUAUGAGGAGCAAGCAUGAGAUAAUUUGGAAGGGGAUUUUGAUGAUGAUAUUCUAAAGGUAGCUGAGGACAUCUCGGAUUUGGAGUUAUGGAGGGUCAUUUUUCACUAAGAUUGUUAUUCCUCAGGAUGAGAGGACUAUUUGAGGAGAGCUAUAAUUGUGAAAUUGCUAGGGGUGAAGGUUGUGCUUAGCUUUAUGCAAAUUCGCCUUUCCAUGCUUUGGCAGCCUAAGCAAGCCAUGGAGAUCAUUAUAUGGUAGUCCUGAGGUGGCAUCUUGAGUUCUUCCCUAUGGAGAAUGACCUGAUACGAGCAAUUAUAUGGGUUAGGAUACCAUUGCCUGCCAAUGGACUACUAUGAUAUAAUCAGAUUUUAUGGUCGAUUAGGAACAACUUGGGUAGGUCUAUGAAAUUUGAGAAAAGUACUCUAAAGGAAUUGAUAUGUUGGAGGGUCAUUUUCAACUUUGAGUGGGAAGUUUAUUUGAUUGUGUGUUGAACUUGACCUUAGGAAGGUUUUUGUCUUAAGGAGUUCUAUUCACAAAAGUGAAGAAAACCACAGGGACACAAUAAACGAGGGGUUGGAUAAUGCCAAUGGAAUUCUAUCGCGAUUACUAGAUUUCUCUUGGCUUCUACCGAAAGCUCUAAAUUGAUGCAUCGUCUAUAGGAACACAAUGCAAACAGUAGAAGUAGUGUAGAGGACAGCGGACAAUGUACACACAUAUUUUAUCCUUGUUCACCUAAAGUUAGAGGGCUACGUUUAGUUCUUGGAAUCCACCAAGCUUUUCACUAACAAGUAUCAAAAACUUCUCCUUACAAGUAUUAUUUUAUCAGGCCACUCUAGGCACACACAAGUAUUCUUUCCUAUCACUCUUCAGGAACUAACAAGUAUUAUUUCUCAUGCCUCUUCAGGCACUAGCAAGUAUUCUUAUGACUUAUCCUUACAUGUAUUAUUGUACAAACCU